GGCUUUACUUUAGAUUCUUCUAGGGUUUCUAGAUUGUAUACCCUAGAUAAGCAUCCUAUAAAGUAAACACAAGUACUUGCAGAGACUUUAGAUUAGAGGGCCAGCGACUGCAGAAGAAGAGUAACACGUCAUCUCUGUGCUUCUUUGUC
rnacentral:precursor_RNA from 1 species